UUAGAAAGUAUGGUGCUCCAACUCCCUUCAUUUGUUUUAAACUGGAACGAACUGACGAGUUCGGGAACCAUUUCAUACAUUGGCCAUUAGAUAGCGCUUUUUGAAUUUGAUGUAAAGGUAUCCUUAUUACCAUGGCCUCCUUGAUGUAUGGAGACAACUUCGUUGUUCAGUCCUGGCGCAUCGUUAAGUUCGGCUGAUUCUCCACUGGCGCUGCAUUUAGCGGACUGACGUUUAUUUGACAAAUACCAUUUUUGAGGUUAAAGACUAAUAAAUUUGAAAGAUGUAAGUGUGCAUUCGUGAAAUACGUUGAAAAUGUGAGGAUAAUUCUAAAGUUAUGCCCUGAAUGAACGUUUGGAUAGUCUUCAGAAGAUAUACAAAUUAUUUUAAGGGGAAUUGAUUGUUCAUAGUUUAUAAGUAUUUUAAGCAUAACCUACGGCACUAGUACGCAGACACAAAUGCAGAGAAAACGAUGUUUCAAAGAACCUUCCAUUUAUUAUGCAUACUCUAUGGUUUUACCAAUGGUUAAGGUUGAAUGCGUUACAAAUCUGUGAUUUUUAAGACAUGGCUUAAGUUUUCUGAAAGGUAUUUGCAACCUUUUAAUCAGCAGAUAUUUGCAAUACAUUGUUUAGGCAAAUGAAACUAUUUUGCACACACGUAUUUUCAAAACCUGCUAUUGUUAAUUUAGUUUUAGUAAAAUGUGCAAAGAAAGUCGUUUUUUUCAAAUGAAACGGUUUAAAAAAGCUCGAUCCAGCGUUCUUCUGCUGCGUUACUCUCUGCUGGAGUGUCUCUGAACCGUCCGUUCCAAAGUCCCUGUCUGGACCUCUCACCUCUGCUCACUCUCAAGCACCGCUCGUGGAUCACCAAACUCCCGAAAAAAAUCUACUACUUUAUAAAUUUUUUUGAGUUUUUGUAUUUAGAAAUUAUCAAUUACAUUGUGGGCUCUUUUUCA